rnacentral:rRNA from 1 species
GAUGAACGCUGGCGGCGCGCCUAACACAUGCAAGUCGAACGAUUAAAGCACCUUCGGGUGUGUAUAAAGUGGCGAACGGCUGAGUAACACGUGGGCAACCUGCCCCUUUCAUUGGGAUAGCCACGGGAAACCGUGGAUAAUACCGAAUACUUCGAGACUUCCGCAUGGAAGACUCGAGAAAGCUCCGGCGGAGAGGGAUGGGCCCGCGGCCUGUUAGCUUGUUGGUGGGGUAACGGCCUACCAAGGCAAUGAUGGGUAGCUGGGUUGAGAGACCGACCAGCCAGGUGGGGACGGAGACACGGCGCAGACGCCCACGGGAGGCAGGAGGGGGGAAUCUUGAGCAAUGGGCGAAAGCCUGAUGCAGCGACGCCGAGGGCGGGAGGAAGGCCUGCGGGUGGGAAACAGCUGUCAGCAGGGACGAGGCGAAAGUGACGGUACCUGCAGAAGAAGCCCCGGCUAACUACGG